rnacentral:lncRNA from 1 species
GUAAGAUAUAAUAAAGAACUUAUCAUACCUCUAUAAAGUUUUGAAUCAACAGACUUACCAUGUUCAUCUUUAUCUAAUUUAUAGGAAAGGAUCAUAGUAGUACUUACACUCUUGGAGCUCUCCAUCCCAAAUUCUUUAAUAAUUCUCUUGUAUACUUGCUUUGGAUAAUGGAGAUCCCUUCCUUCAUUUGCUUGAUCUGGAGUUUGAAGAAGAAGGUAAGUUCUCCCAUCAUGCUCA